rnacentral:tRNA from 1 species
GCCGGGGUGGCUCAGCUGCGGCCAGAUCUCCAACAGGCGAGAUCACAGCGUUGGACUCAUAAUCCAAAGGUCGCGGGUUCGACUCCCGCCCCCGGCACCA